GGCGGCGUAGCCAAGUGGUAAGGCAAGGGUCUGCAAAACCCUAAUACACCGGUUCGAUUCCGGUCGCCGCCUCCA
rnacentral:tRNA from 2 species